AGGACGAACGCUGGCGGCGCGCUUAACACAUGCAAGUCGAGCGAGAACCAGGCCUUCGGGCCUGGGGACAGCGGCGAACGGGUGAGUAACACGUGGGUAAUCUGCCCUCGAUACUGGGAUAGCCCGGGGAAACCCGGAUUAAUACCGGAUGGCCCUUCGAGUCCUCGGACUUGAAGGAAAAGGUGCUUCGGCCUCCGAUCGAGGAUGAGCCCGCGGCGGAUUAGGCUUGGUUGGUGAGGUAACGGCCCACCGAAGGCGACGAUCCGUAGCUGGUCUGAGAGGACGAUCAGCCACACUGGGACUGAGACGACGGCCCAGACCUCCGUACGGGAGGCAGCGAGUGGGGAAUCUGACCAAGUGGACGAAGCCUGAGGCGAGCGACGCCGCGUGACGGAGAAGGCGUCGGGUUAGUAACGU
rnacentral:rRNA from 1 species